GAUGAACGCUGGCGGCGUGCCUAAUACAUGCAAGUCGAGCGAACGGACGAGAAGCUUGCUUCUCUGAUGUUAGCGGCGGACGGGUGAGUAACACGUGGAUAACCUACCUAUAAGACUGGGAUAACUUCGGGAAACCGGAGCUAAUACCGGAUAAUAUUUUGAACCGCAUGGUUCAAAAGUGAAAGACGGUCUUGCUGUCACUUAUAGAUGGAUCCGCGCUGCAUUAGCUAGUUGGUAAGGUAACGGCUUACCAAGGCAACGAUGCAUAGCCGACCUGAGAGGGUGAUCGGCCACACUGGAACUGAGACACGGUCCAGACUCCUACGGGAGGCAGCAGUAGGGAAUCUUCCGCAAUGGGCGAAAGCCUGACGGAGCAACGCCGCGUGAGUGAUGAAGGUCUUCGGAUCGUAAAACUCUGUUAUUAGGGAAGAACAUAUGUGUAAGUAACUGUGCACAUCUUGACGGUACCUAAUCAGAAAGCCACGGCUAACUACGUGCCAGCAGCCGCGGUAAUACGUAGGUGGCAAGCGUUAUCCGGAAUUAUUGGGCGUAAAGCGCGCGUAGGCGGUUUUUUAAGUCUGAUGUGAAAGCCCACGGCUCAACCGUGGAGGGUCAUUGGAAACUGGAAAACUUGAGUGCAGAAGAGGAAAGUGGAAUUCCAUGUGUAGCGGUGAAAUGCGCAGAGAUAUGGAGGAACACCAGUGGCGAAGGCGACUUUCUGGUCUGUAACUGACGCUGAUGUGCGAAAGCGUGGGGAUCAAACAGGAUUAGAUACCCUGGUAGUCCACGCCGUAAACGAUGAGUGCUAAGUGUUAGGGGGUUUCCGCCCCUUAGUGCUGCAGCUAACGCAUUAAGCACUCCGCCUGGGGAGUACGACCGCAAGGUUGAAACUCAAAAGAAUUGACGGGGACCCGCACAAGCGGUGGAGCAUGUGGUUUAAUUCGAAGCAACGCGAAGAACCUUACCAAAUCUUGACAUCCUUUGACAACUCUAGAGAUAGAGCCUUCCCCUUCGGGGGACAAAGUGACAGGUGGUGCAUGGUUGUCGUCAGCUCGUGUCGUGAGAUGUUGGGUUAAGUCCCGCAACGAGCGCAACCCUUAAGCUUAGAUGCCAUCAUUAAGUUGGGCACUCUAAGUUGACUGCCGGUGACAAACCGGAGGAAGGUGGGGAUGACGUCAAAUCAUCAUGCCCCUUAUGAUUUGGGCUACACACGUGCUACAAUGGACAAUACAAAGGGCAGCGAAACCGCGAGGUCAAGCAAAUCCCAUAAAGUUGUUCUCAGUUCGGAUUGUAGUCUGCAACUCGACUACAUGAAGCUGGAAUCGCUAGUAAUCGUAGAUCAGCAUGCUACGGUGAAUACGUUCCCGGGUCU
rnacentral:rRNA from 1 species